UCGAGUAUGGUGUACCGGUAACAUUUCUGACUCUCAACAUUCUCGGGAUUGAGCACUCAGGGGCCUGGGGGCCGAUUCCCCGUAUCCGAG